GAGCAGGGGGCAAGAGGGCGGGGGUCCUCCGAGGCUGAGCGUGAAGAACCCGAAGCCGCGUCCCUAAAGGUGGAGCCACCCGCGCGCGCACCCACGCCAGCCCGAACCUUGACUCCCAGACACGGCGGUGGCAAUCGCCGCAGUCUGCAUUUUAUAUCCCAUCCCCUCCAGAGGGAGGCAACUCAGCUUCUACUUGCAUUGGAAAUGCUGCUGAGACAUUAUGGUCACAGUGAUGCUUUGACCCAAACUCACACCAUGUGUUUUAUGUGCCACCUGGUAGCACCAUCAAGAGCAUGAAGGCAAAAAGCCAACACUAAUUGAAUUUCCAUCAUGUGUCAGUAGGAGUUAGCCUAUCAGCCACACAAGGAAGCACAGAUGUUUACACCUCUGCAAAGGAGAGAAAACCAGAAUCAAAGUUCCAACUGGGCUAGAAAAGGAUUGGCCAGGUGUCUACAAGGGAGUUUGCCUGAAGGACCAGACUGACAGGCCAGCUUCAUACUCUCCUGGGACAGAAAGGGCACGCAGAGAUUUGGAACUGUAGGCAUGAGGAGAAGCGGCUUUGCACUGGGGGUUCUGGAAGAGUGAGCCACUUGAAAGACAGAAAGGGACUUUUUUAUAGUAAACAAAUGACCAUUUCUGUGUAGCCAGGCUUGACUUCAAACUGUUGGCACCUUUAAUCCUUAGCCUGAAAUCUCUGACUUCCCAGAGAGACUAGAAGUAAAGGGUAAUUGCUCCCCAGAAAGGAGAAAGUAUUUCCCUAAUUGGUCAGGCAUAGGGGUGGGUGGAAAGUGCCCAGAUCCCUCGCACCACAAGAGAUGACUCCAACAUGAGAGUCCUACUCCAAUUCCUAGACCUCCAUGGUAGAUCGCACUCCAAUUGUCUGAAGUGGUAUCUGGCAUGAUCAUGUGCUCUUACUUGCCUCUCUUCGCUACACCGUACUUGGGUGCCUGAUACCAACUAAACUAUUUGUACUUAAAUUUUGUCUCAAGGUUGGCUCCUGGAGGAAUCCAAACUAAGGCACCUCAACCCAGCGAAAUAUAGCAGCUGGAGAAGAAGACUCUUUAUGUCAAAGGAAAAGAAAUGGCAAUCCCCCAAGUUUCCUUCUUUUUCUCCCAUCAAGCCAUUAAUGUGUAUAGAUGGAAGCAAAUUGAUAGCAUAAUAAUUGUUUUCACUUGUCCAGCUUAAUUAAGGUAUGAUUGAUAAAUAAAUUUGUAUAUAUUUAAAAUAUAUUAUGUGAUAGUUUGAUAUAGAUAUAUAUUGUGAAAUGAUCACCACAAUCAAGCUAACAUUUUCAUUUCUUUAUAUAUUUACCCAUUCCCCUUGUUGUGCCUAGAAUACUUAAGGUUUACUAUCACUGUGAAUUUCAAGUAUACCAUACAUUCUUAUUAACUAUAGACCAUGCUGUGCAUUAGAUUUACAGCAUGUAUUCACCUUGUAUCUUAAAGACUAUAUCCUUUAACCAACAUCUUUCUAUUUCCCAUCACCUCUAACCACUGAUAAUCCCCAUUCUCCUCCUUUUUAUGUGUUCAACUUUUUUAGAAUCCACAUAUAAGUGAGAUGGUACAAUGCCUUGAUGUAUUUUGCUUUUUUUACUUAGCUUAAUGUCCUCCAGGUUCACCCAUGAGGAUGAAAAUGGCAGGAUCUCCUUUUAAAGGCUGAAUCACAUUGGUUUAUAUACAUAUGUAUGUAUGUCCCAUUUUCUUUAUUCAUUUAUUCAUUGAUGGAUACCUCAGUUGAUACCAUAUCUUGGUUACUAUAAAUAGUGUUGCAAUAAAUAUAGAAUAACAGAGAA